rnacentral:rRNA from 1 species
UACGUAGGGGGCAAGCGUUGUCCGGAUUUAUUGGGCGUAAAGAGCGUGUAGGCGGUUGGGUAGGUCCGUUGUGAAAACUCGAGGCUCAACCUCGAGACGCCCGAUGGAAACCCCCCAGCUAGAGUCCGGAAGAGGAGAGUGGAAUUCCUGGUGUAGCGGUGGAAUGCGCAGAUAUCAGGAGGAACACCGAUGGCGAAGGCAGUUCUCUGGGCCGUAACUGACGCUGAGGAGCGAAAGCUAGGGGAGCAAACGGG